rnacentral:rRNA from 1 species
UACGGAGGGUGCAAGCGUUAUCCGGAAUUAUUGGGCGUAAAGGGCGCGUAAGCGGUGCCACAAGUCACCUGUGAAAUCUCCGGGCUCAACCUGGGAACUGCAUUUGUGACUGCACGGCUGGAGUGCGGCAGAGGGGGAUGGAAUUCCGCGUGUAGCAGUGAAAUGCGUAGAUAUGCGGAGGAAUACCGAUGGCGAAGGCAAUCCCCUGGGCCUGCACUGACGCUCAUGCACGAAAGCGUGGGGAGCAAACAGG